GAUGAACGCUGGCGGCGUGCCUAAUACAUGCAAGUCGAGCGAACGGACGAGAAGCUUGCUUCUCUGAUGUUAGCGGCGGACGGGUGAGUAACACGUGGAUAACCUACCUAUAAGACUGGGAUAACUUCGGGAAACCGUAGCUAAUACCGGAUAAUAUUUUGAACCGCAUGGGUCAAAAGUGAAAGUCGGUCUUGCUGUCACUUAUAGAUGGAUCCGCGCUGCAUUAGCUAGUUGGUAAGGUAACGGCUUACCAAGGCAACUAUGCAUAGCCGACCUGAGAGGGUGAUCGGCCACCCUGGAGCUGGGACACGGUCCUGACGCCUGCGGGAGGCAGCAGUAGGGAAUGGUCCGCAGUGGGCGGAAGCCUUACGGAGCAACGCCGCGUGAGUGAUGGAGGUCUUCGGAUCGUAAAACCCUGUUAUGAGUGAAGAACAUAUGUGGAAUUAACUGUGCACAGCUUGACGGUACCGAGUCAGAAAGCCACGGCUAACUACGUG
rnacentral:rRNA from 1 species